AACGAACGCUGGCGGCAUGCCUAACACAUGCAAGUCGAACGAGACCUUCGGGUCUAGUGGCGCACGGGUGCGUAACGCGUGGGAACCUGCCCUUAGGUUCGGAAUAACUCCCCGAAAGGGGUGCUAAUACCGGAUAAUGUCUUCGGACCAAAGAUUUAUCGCCUUUGGAUGGGCCCGCGUUGGAUUAGCUAGUUGGUAGGGUAAAAGCCUACCAAGGCGACGAUCCAUAGCUGGUCUGAGAGGAUGAUCAGCCACACUGGGACUGAGACACGGCCCAGACUCUUACGGGAGGCAGCAGUGGGGAAUAUUGGACAAUGGGCGAAAGCCUGAUCCAGCAAUGCCGCGUGAGUGAUGAAGGCCUUAGGGUUGUAAAGCUCUUUUGCCCGGGAUGAUAAUGACAGUACCGGGAGAAUAAGCUCCGGCUAACUCCGUG
rnacentral:rRNA from 1 species